rnacentral:rRNA from 1 species
AUUGAACGCUGGCGGCAGGCCUAACACAUGCAAGUCGAACGGUAACAGGAAGAAGCUUGCUUCUUUGCUGACGAGUGGCGGACGGGUGAGUAAUGUCUGGGAAACUGCCUGAUGGAGGGGGAUAACUACUGGAAACGGUAGCUAAUACCGCAUAACGUCGCAAGACCAAAAAGGGGGACCUUCGGGCCUCUUGCCAUCGGAUGUGCCCAGAUGGGAUUAGCUAGUAGGUGGGGUAACGGCUCACCUAGGCGACGAUCCCUAGCUGGUCUGAGAGGAUGACCAGCCACACUGGAACUGAGACACGGUCCAGACUCCUACGGGAGGCAGCAGUGGGGAAUAUUGCACAAUGGGCGCAAGCCUGAUGCAGCCAUUCCGCGUGUAUGAAGAAGGCCUUCGGGUUGUAAAGUACUUUCAGCGGGGAGGAAGGGAGUAAAGUUAAUACCUUUGCUCAUUGACGUUACCCGCAGAAGAAGCACCGGCUAACUCCGUG